rnacentral:tRNA from 1 species
UCGGCAGGGUGGGGAAGCGCGACUGCGGCUUCGCGACCACCGAGGGGGACGGCUUGGCGGACGGCUUGGCCGGUUCGGCGUCGGCCUCGCUGGAC